AGAGUUUGAUUCUGGCUCAGGACGAACGCUGGCGGCGUGCUUAACACAUGCAAGUCGAACGGUAAGGCCCUUCGGGGUACACGAGUGGCGAACGGGUGAGUAACACGUGGGUAAUCUGCCCUGCACAUCGGGAUAAGCCUGGGAAACUGGGUCUAAUACCGAAUAGGACCACAGAACACAUGUCCUGUGGUGGAAAGCUUUUGCGGUGUGGGAUGGGCCCGCGGCCUAUCAGCUUGUUGGUGGGGUGAUGGCCCACCAAGGCGACGACGGGUAGCCGGCCUGAGAGGGUGUCCGGCCACACUGGGACUGAGAUACGGCCCAGACUCCUACGGGAGGCAGCAGUGGGGAAUAUUGCACAAUGGGCGAAAGCCUGAUGCAGCGACGCCGCGUGGGGGAUGACGGCCUUCGGGUUGUAAACCUCUUUCACCAUCGACGAAGGUCCGGGUUUUCUCGGGCUGACGGUAGGUGGAGAAGAAGCACCGGCCAACUACGUGCCAGCAGCCGCGGUAAUACGUAGGGUGCGAGCGUUGUCCGGAAUUACUGGGCGUAAAGAGCUCGUAGGUGGUUUGUCGCGUUGUUCGUGAAAUCUCACGGCUUAACUGUGAGCGUGCGGGCGAUACGGGCAGACUUGAGUACUGCAGGGGAGACUGGAAUUCCUGGUGUAGCGGUGGAAUGCGCAGAUAUCAGGAGGAACACCGGUGGCGAAGGCGGGUCUCUGGGCAGUAACUGACGCUGAGGAGCGAAAGCGUGGGGAGCGAACAGGAUUAGAUACCCUGGUAGUCCACGCCGUAAACGGUGGGUACUAGGUGUGGGUUUCCUUCCUUGGGAUCCGUGCCGUAGCUAACGCAUUAAGUACCCCGCCUGGGGAGUACGGCCGCAAGGCUAAAACUCAAAGAAAUUGACGGGGGCCCGCACAAGCGGCGGAGCAUGUGGAUUAAUUCGAUGCAACGCGAAGAACCUUACCUGGGUUUGACAUGCACAGGACGCCGGCAGAGAUGUCGGUUCCCUUGUGGCCUGUGUGCAGGUGGUGCAUGGCUGUCGUCAGCUCGUGUCGUGAGAUGUUGGGUUAAGUCCCGCAACGAGCGCAACCCUUGUCUCAUGUUGCCAGCGGGUAAUGCCGGGGACUCGUGAGAGACUGCCGGGGUCAACUCGGAGGAAGGUGGGGAUGACGUCAAGUCAUCAUGCCCCUUAUGUCCAGGGCUUCACACAUGCUACAAUGGCCGGUACAAAGGGCUGCGAUGCCGCGAGGUUAAGCGAAUCCUUUUAAAGCCGGUCUCAGUUCGGAUCGGGGUCUGCAACUCGACCCCGUGAAGUCGGAGUCGCUAGUAAUCGCAGAUCAGCAACGCUGCGGUGAAUACGUUCCCGGGCCUUGUACACACCGCCCGUCACGUCAUGAAAGUCGGUAACACCCGAAGCCAGUGGCCUAACCCUUUGGGAGGGAGCUGUCGAAGGUGGGAUCGGCGAUUGGGACGAAGUCGUAACAAGGUAGCCGUA
rnacentral:rRNA from 1 species